rnacentral:tRNA from 1 species
AAAGGGAGACCUAAUUCGGGUAUAAGACGAAAAAAUAGUAGUCCCUACCAAGAAUCAAUCCCAAAAGGUCGGAGCGAGGUAUGUGGCUUUCAAACUAGGUUCUGGGUUCACACAAGACCUGAAUCAGGAACAAGGGCUAUUAGCUCAGGUGGUUAGAGCGCACCCCUGAUAAGGGUGAGGUCCCUGGUUCGAGUCCAGGAUGGCCCACCUGCACAGGUGGCAAAAACAAAGAAAAGAAGCGAGGAAUCAGCACCUUAUCUUACUUAUAUAGUAAGAGAGAAUGCUGGCUCUGAGUACAGAGUCCAGAGGAACCUUGAAAACUGCAUAGAGCUAGGUGAAAAAGCCAAAAAAGAAGACCGCAAG